UAGGGUAUUGACCUAACAUGGCUAUGACGGGUAACGGGGAAUUAGAGUUCGAUUCCGGAGAGGGAGCCUGAGAAAUAGCUACCACAUCUAAGGAAGGCAGCAGGCGCGUAAAUUACCCAAUUCUAAAAAAGAGAGGUAGUGACAAGAAAUAACAAUACAAUAUCGAAAAAUGAUUUUGUAAUUGGAAUGAUAGGGAUUUAAAACAUUCUUAGAGAAACAAUUGGAGGGCAAGUCUGGUGCCAGCAGCCGCGGUAAUUCCAGCUCCAAUAGCAUAUAUUAAAAUUGUUGCAGUUAAAACGUUCGUAGUUGAAUAUUAAAGAAUCCGAUGUUUCAUUUAAACUGGUUUGAAAAAACUAUAUAUAUAUUUUGCUUUUUGCUUAAUAUGUUUUUUCUAUAAAUUAUGUUUUUAUCAGAUAUGACAGAGUCUUUUUUAAAAUCUUUUCAUUUAGCUUUUUUUAGCUUUUGGGAGAUUUUGUUACUUUGAGUAAAAUAAAGUGUUCAUAACAGACGGCUAUACAAUAGAUUGAGUUCAUUGUGUUUGAAUACUACAGCAUGGAAUAACAAAUAUGAAUAAGCUAAUCUUUUUUUUUGAUUAUUUUUUUUGAUAUUCUUAUUAGCUUAGUUACGAUUAAUAGGAGUAGCUUUGGGGGCAUUCGUAUUCAGAUGUCAGAGGUGAAAUUCUAAGAUUUUCUGGAGACGGACUACUGCGAAAGCAUUUGCCUAAUCUAUUUCCAUUAAUCAAGAACGAAA
rnacentral:rRNA from 1 species